CCUACGGGAGGCAGCAGUGGGGGAUAUUGCACAAUGGGGGGAACCCUGAUGCAGCGACGCCGCGUGGGUGAAGAAGCGCCUCGGCGCGUAAAGCCCUGUCAGCAGGGAAGAAAAUGACGGUACCUGAAGAAGAAGCCCCGGCUAACUACGUGCCAGCAGCCGCGGUACUACGUAGGGGGCAAGCGUUAUCCGGAUUUACUGGGUGUAAAGGGGGGGCAGAGGGCGAUGAAGGCCAGGAGUGAAAGCACGGGGCCCAACCCCGGGACUGCCGUUGGAACUGCGUGGCUGGAGUGCAGGAGGGGCAGGCAGAAUUCCUGGUGUAGUGGUGAAAUGCGUAGAUAUCAGGAGGAACACCGGUGGCGAAGGCGGCCUGCUGGACUGCAACUGACGUUGAGGCCCGAAAGCGUGGGGAGCAAACAGGAUUAGAUACCCUGGUAGUC
rnacentral:rRNA from 1 species